CCUACGGGGGGCUGCAGUGGGGAAUAUUGGACAAUGGGGGGAACCCUGAUCCAGCGACGCCGCGUGAGUGAAGAAGUAUUUCGGUAUGUAAAGCUCUAUCAGCAGGGAAGAAAGAAAUGACGGUACCUGACUAAUAAGCCCCGGCUAACUACGUGCCAGCAGCCGCGGUAAUACGUAGGGGGCAAGCGUUAUCCGGAUUUACUGGGUGUAAAGGGAGCGUAGACGGCGAUGCAAGUCUGAAGUGAAAGGCGGGGGCCCAACCCCCGGACUGCUUUGGAAACUGUAUGGCUGGAGUGCAGGGGAGGUAAGUGGAAUUCCUAGUGUAGCGGUGAAAUGCGUAGAUAUUAGGAGGAACACCAGUGGCGAAGGCGGCUUACUGGACUGUAACUGACGUUGAGGCUCGAAAGCGUGGGGAGCAAACAGGAUUAGAUACCCCAGUAGUC
rnacentral:rRNA from 1 species